UUUUUUUCUUCGUUUCUGCAUCUGUUACGCCCGGAGUUACUGUCUGUGGCUCCCUGCCAGCGCUCACAGCUGCCGGCGAGAAAUAAACCAGCACACAACUGGAACACAGUCAACGGUCGCUUUCUCGGGCGUCUACUGCAUCACCGUCUCGUCUCCGCUGAGAGAAACUUCACCCUGACAAGCCAUUCAGGCUUUUCAAUGGUCUGAAAGUGAACGUGUGGUGGAAAAUCUUUCCCCCGCCUUGCCGUGUCCCUUCAGCGCUGUGUAUGCAGUGUGAUGUACAGUCUGUAUGGGAGACAGUGUUACUAUGGCAACAGAUAACAGGUGCAGUGAGAUCACUUCCUCUUCGCAGGGCCUGUUUCCGUAGCAGCAGUCACUUCCUGUCCCACGGAGAGAUCAGGAAAUGCAUCCUUAUCCAGCGGGGGU